CGAUAGCGUAUAUUAAAGUUGUUGCAGUUAAAAAGCUCGUAGUUGAACUUCUGGCAGGAUAGCCGACCCUACAAAAGUCUGGCGGUCAUGCCAUCCCCUUUGUAUUACUAAACAUGCACUUUGUUGUGCAGUUUUGUGAUCAAGGAAUUUACUUUGAAAAAUUAGAGUGUUUCAAUGCAAGCGCAUUCGCUGGAAUACAUUAGCAUGGAAUAAUAGAAUAUGACCUUUGUUCAUUUAUUGGUCCAAUGAGUGGAGGUAAUGAUUAACAGGGACAGUUGGGGCCGUUAUAUUUCGUUGUCAGAGGUGAAAUUCUUGGAUUUACGAAAGAUAAACUUCUGCGAAAGCAUUCGGCAAGGAUGUUUUCAUUGAUCAAGA
rnacentral:rRNA from 1 species